rnacentral:tRNA from 1 species
AGGCAGUCAGCUCCAAAGGGGAGCGCUCCAGUUAAAGCUGGAGUUUGGCAGGUUCGACUCCUGCACAGCCUG